rnacentral:rRNA from 1 species
CAGCCGCCGCGGUAAUACGAAGGGUGCAAGCGUUAAUCGGAAUUACUGAGCGUAAAGCGUGCGUAGGCGGUGAGUUAAGUCUGCUGUGAAAUCCCCGGGCUCAACCUGGGAAUGGCAGUGGAUACUGGCUCGCUAGAGUGUGUCAGAGGAUGGUGGAAUUCCCGGUGUAGCGGUGAAAUGCCUAGAGAUCGGGAGGAACAUCAGUGGCGAAGGCGGCCAUCUGGGACAACACUGACGCUGAGGCACGAAAGCGUGGGGAGCAAACAGGAUUAGAUACCCCAGUAGUCCCUGUCUCUUAUAC